AGGGUGAUCUUUUUAAUGUGAAAGACCUGACAUCUCUGCAUUGUGAGCUAAAUAUUCCCAUUCCAGAGCCUCCUGCUCCUGAGGGCGAGGAUUCAUCGAAGAUGGAAACAGACAAAGAUGAGAAGAAAGUUCCUCGUUGUGGCUUCCUACAAGAGAAUGAGAAAAUGCACAGAAUCCUGAACAUUGUUCAACCUGAGGUCCGAUCUCUGAGAGAGGGUUGUGCACUGGUUAUCACCUGGAUCCAUCACCUGAUCCCAAAAA